CUCGACGCCGUGCUCCUCCUCGUCCUGGAAAGGGUACAGAGUCGUCCCAGGCUAUGCUGCAGGUGUGGGGCCCUGGAACUCUUUGUAGUCAGCGCGGUCCUCCUCGACCUGUGCGCCUAGGAGUGGGGACGGCGGUGGCGGGGUCAUGCAGCGCUCCCAGCCACCCUGCGGCCGGGUCCCAGCCAGCAGCACCAUGCCAGCGGCCGGAGGCGUGGGCUGGGGGCCGGGGCACCGUCCCGGAAAACCGGGCGCGCCCCAAGGUCCCUGCUUCUCGCUUCCGCGUCCCCAGAGAAGCCGUAGCUCCCGCCCCCAGCCCGGCAGAAACCUCCUUUCUUUACAUUAUUAAGUUUGUUUUCAUUUUAAUUUUCUUAGGACAUUGAUAAAAUCACUUUCGGAUUUUUGAGAUUAAAAAUUAAAUAAUUUUCAUCUUUACCCUUUUUAAAUUUUUCACACUUUAUUUUAAUGCUUUUAUUCUUUUGUAAAUUUUAAUUAUUGUAAUUUAUAUCUUCAAUUAUUAUGGAAGAAUUUUAGAAAAGUCUUUUCACAUAAUAAAGACUAAUUAAUGAACUAUUAUUUAUUCUCUCCUCUAUCUCAAAUACGGACUUUAAACUUUUAGAACACUUUUUGUUUUGAGACUCUUGUUACUUAUGUGACAUUUUAACUAUUCACUCUUCUAGUGAAUUUUUAAUGUCAUUCAAAGGGUACAUCUUUCUACACUGAGAAUUAAACAAAGUUCUCAAAAAUAUUCUCAGAUAAUUUAGAAUUUCACCUUCCACUGGCAUGUUAAGUAUGUUCUCCUUCCCUUCUAAUGCAUAUUUUCCUCACACGUCCUCAUGUUAUACUCCUUAUUCACCCUCCAUGCAAGAGGUGAUUUUAUUUAUUUAUUUAUUUAUUGAGACAGAGUCUCAGUCUGUCACCGAGGCUAGAGUGCAGUGGCAUGAUCUCGGUUCACUGCUAUCUUUGCCUCCUUGGUUCAAGUGAUUAUCCUGCCUCAGCCUCCAUAGUAGCUGGGAUUGCAGGUGUGCACCACCAUGCCCCGCUAAUUUUUGUAUUUUAGGUAAAGACAAAGUUUUACCAUGUUGAACAGGCCAGUCUUGAACUCUUGACCUAAAGUGAUCCACCUGCCUUGGCCUCCAAAAAUGCUGAGAUUACAAAAACAGCAACUAAACGCUGGAAUGAUGACUGGGAACUUGUCUAGAGUCUCCAGUGAUUAUCCUCCUUAUAACAAGGCAGAAAGCCUUCCUCAGAAUUAUCUGGACUGACAUCACUCAUUGUCCAGACCUGUUAACAGCAACAAGUGCUGUGAGUCUCAAAUGUGCUCCUUCAAUAAUGCAGUAGAAGGCCUGAGUUUCCACAUAAUAGUAUCCUUGAAUGCCUGGAGACUUAAGGCACAAGAAUGUAUUGAUCCUAUGAACUUUAUGUUUUGUAAAAUUUCAGAUUAUGUGAGGUGUUUGGACAAAUUAAGUUUCAGGGUGAUAUCCACUAUUGAGACAGAAAAUUAGUUUAAAGAAUUAAGACCUCAAAGUCCAGAAUGAGAAAAAAUUGUUUUUCUUAGAGCCUCCUUAUAACUGUCUUAUUUGUUUUAUAGAUGUAAGUACUAGAGGACAAGCUCUACCUGAUAUAGCUGGCCUAGACAUAUGCAGAUUUAUUAAUUGUAGAAGAAAUAAUUAUACCUUUCAGGUAAAAUGGCUAUGCAAAAUAAUUAGUUGCUGUUUUUGAGACAAGUUCUCACUCUGUCACCCAGGCUGGAGUGCAAUAGCACAAUCAGAACUCACUGCAGUCUCAAACUCCCAGCUGGUCUCAAGCAAUCCUCCCAACUCAGCCUCCUGAGUAGCUGGGACAACAGGUGCACACCACCACUCAAGGCUAAUUUUCUUUUUAUUUUUGGUAGAGAUAAGGUCUUACUAUGUUGCCCAGGCUGAUCUCAAACUCCUGGCCUCAAGUGAUUUUUCUGCCUUGGCCUCCCAAAGCACUGGGAUUAUAAGUAUGGCCACUGUUACCAGCCUUAGAUCAUUUUUUUUAAUACAGAUAGCUUCCCAACUAAAAAUAUUUUAUUAGAAUUCUCUGAAUUCAGCAAAGCAAUGUUAUUACUGACCCAGUCUUCACUUAUUUUCAGCUGACAUGGAAGAACAAAAUUACCUUUAUUUUUAAAUUUAUUUUAUUUUAUAUUUUCAAGGUGCAAAGUAUGUUGUUUUGAGACACAUAUACAUAAUGAAAUGAUUACUAUAAUGAAGAAAAUUAACAAAUCUAUCAUAUCACUUAGCUGUGCUUCUUUUUUAUGAUAAGAACACCAAAAAUCUAGUCCCUCAGAAUAUUUCCCAAAAACAAUACAUUAUCAAAUAUGCCUACAGGUUGUACAUCAGAUUCACUUAUUCUACUACGCCUUUACAACUUUUGCCCUUCAUUUACCUAUUUCCUUCCCACCAAUGUAACCACCUUUUUUAAUGUAUUGAACUUUUAAAAAUAGAUUUCAAAUAUGAGUGGAACCAUGAAGGAUUUUUCUCUGUGUGUCUGUCUUAUUUCACUUAGGAAACGUGCCAUUUACAUGCCUCCUAAAUUUAGUACAGAAAUAGAGUGCUAGUCAAGAAUGUGUCUCAGUGUUGUUAUAUUAAUUUUUUCCAAGUUAUCCUCUUUAUCAAUUUUUACUUUUUGUACUAUAGAAAAGUCAAAAUUAUUGUAUUAAAAAAUCUGUAACAAGGCUAUUGAUAAAUAACUUCUUUUAGGGAUAGAAAACUCAGGAAGUUCAAGAUUUCUGGAUUAAUGAUUGACAAUGUUCUUAGUGGUCCCUCUUUGAUUUAUUUCAAUUGUAAGUAAUUCUUGGUGAUAUUCUAACAUAAAUUCUGACAGGUGAAGAGAAUAAAUAAAUUAAGUAUCUCUAGGAGAAUCAAUAGAAUAAGAUUAUCUUGGUUAAAUAGCUAAGAAAGUAUGCUAAAUAGACACAAAAACUUUUUCAUCUUCCAAAAUCAGAGUUAAAUAGUAAAUAAUCGUAAAGUAGCUAAUUCUGUCUUUCUGCAAAAGUGAAUCUGAGCUAAAUUAGAAGAAUGUCAGGAAUAAAUUUUUCCUUGAAAACUAGGAACAAAUAAUGUAAUUAAAUUAUGAGGCACUGACUGUUGCAUACAGUUUUAUGUUGCAUAGAGUUUUAGCAUCAACAGAAAAGCUUACAAAACAUAGGUGAAAAUCAAAAAGGAGUGCUGGGUUGGAGCCCUAAGGUGAAUAAUUUUAUCAUCUCAGAUCACUUGGAAAAAGGCAGCGAGUCCAAAAGAAGCUGGUGAUAAGCUUUCUCUCUGCUAACCCCUAAUGUUCUGCAUGAAAUAUGUGGAGGCAGAAGAGAGACAGUUUAUUAUAGAGUCUACGUGGUAUAGAGCGAAGGAAUAAGAACAUUUCUGAUAAGUAUUUUCAAAAUUUGAAGAAUCAUUCCUAUAUAAAUCAUUCAUUUAAGAGACUAAAAUACAAGUAAGAUGUUUCUUGCCACAUAACCCUCAGCUUAGCCAGGCUCUAAAAAGGACAACACUGGACACCUUGACAGUGGUAAAAAGCAGGGUUUACUCACUCUUGAAUACUAAGAUCUGGUGCUAACCUUAGGCAGCAACUUGUCUAUUUGGUUGAGGUUCAGCUCAAAUCUCUUGGGUUAUUUUCAGUUGUGCCAGUCAUUUAAUUUAUUUUCUGAAUCAAAUAAUAAGAAUGGAUAUGGUUUUGAGUGUAAACAGCAUUCCCAGAUAUAUCUUACAACUUGGUGUGCCAUCUGCCUAAUUUUGAACCUAUAGGACGGGAAUAACUGCAUUGUGAAAAAUACCAGGUGAUUUCCUUAAAGCCAAAUACUCUUGUCCCUCCUACUUUUCUUUUGGCUUUCCUGCUGCAUGGGACGUGGCAAUAAAUGGCAGUUUUCUGCACACAGAGAUAAAAUUCACUUGUUGAGGAUGUCAAUCUUCUUGACAACUCCUAUAUUGGUACAAACAUGUGAGAGCAAUGCACCUUCUGAAUCAUUUCAAAUUUGUGGUCUUUGUUAGAGCAGGUAAGCCGGUGCCCUAGGAGACAUAGCUAUUAACGUUCUAUUAUAGAAUUUUCCAUUCUGUAUCAUCUGGAUUCUUAUUUAAAAUGUAGACUAAUUUUGUUCUUUCUACUGCAUAAGAAGGUUUAUACCACUUUAUGCUUAGUAAAUAAUUAAAUUUAUAUGUCAGUUUAAAUAAGGACAGUCUCCAUUGUUUUAAGUCCUUUUCCUGUUCCCCAUCAUCUUAUAUAGGAAACUUCCUCUUUCAAUGGUUUAUAUUAAAAAACCUAAGACAAUUGAAAUCAACCCUAUAAAAAUUAUGCUACAAUUAUUUUAAACCCU
rnacentral:lncRNA from 10 species